AUGGAGGGAGCUGAGGCUGGAUGUGAUCCUUUGUCCCAUGCUGGGGCCAGCCUUCAACCAUGGCUACGCUGGGAAGCUCUUUGCUGCGACCUCCUACACCAAUUUGUACAACGUGUUAAACUUCCCUGCCGGGGUGGUGCCGGUCAGCACGGCGACGAGAGCCGACGAAGAAGAACUGAAGCACUACCGAGGGCACUACAGAGACCCCUGGGACCAGAGGCUGAAGGAGGCUGUGGCAGGAGGCGUGGGGCUGCCCGUGGCCGUGCAGUGCAUGGCCUUGCCAUGGCAGGAGGAGCUGUGCCUGCGCCUCAUGAAGGAGGUGGAGGCUCUUGCCCAUGGCACGAAGACAAACCUGUGAUUUCUGGCAGCCAGCCUCCAAUGGGAUGGCUUUUCAUUCCCUGCCCUUCACUCCAGCUGCCUUCUACUUGAUAUGAAGCAAAGUACAUAGUGAGUUGAGAACUCUGAGCUAAUAUUUUAAUAAAGUGGCACUAAAUUCAGUUUAAAAAUAGUCA
rnacentral:lncRNA from 1 species